UUGACGUUACCUACAGAAGAAGCACCGGCUAACUCUGUGCCAAGCAGCCGCGGUAAUACAGAGGGUGCAAGCGUUAAUCGGAAUUACUGGGCGUAAAGCGUAUGCAGGUGGCUAAAUAAGUUAGAUGUGAAAUCCCUGGGCUUAACCUAACGAACUGCAUUUGAUACUGUUUGGCUAGAGUCUAGUAGAGGAAAGCGGAAUUUCCGGUGUAGCGGUGAAAUGCGUAGAUAUCGGAAAAGAACAUCAGUGGCGAAGGCCGGCUUUCUGGACUUGAAACUUGACACUGAGAUACCGAAAGCGUGGGGAGCAAACAGGAUUAGAUACCCCUGGUUAGUCCAACCGCCCCUAAACGGAUUGAGUACUAGGACCGUUAGAAACCUUUUUGGUUUUUUAGUGUCGCAGCUAACGCAUGAAGUUUCUCCGGCUGGGGAAGUACGGGCGGCAAGUUUAAACUCAGAGGAAUUGACGGGGGCCCGCACAAAGCGGGGAGCAUGUGGUUUAAUUCGAUGCAACGCGAAGAACCUUACCUGGUCUUGACAUCCAGAGAACUCUGUAGAGAUAUAGAGGUGCCUUCGGGAACUCUGAGACAGGUGCUGCAUGGCUGUCGUCAGCUCGUGUCGUGAGAAUGUUGGGUUAAGUCCCGCAACGAGCGCAACCCUUUAUUUCUAGUUGCUAAUUAUAGAACUCUAGAAAGACUGCCAGUGCAAACUGGAGGAAGGCGGGGACGACGUUCAAGUCAUCAUGGCCCUUACGACCAGGGCUACACACGUGCUACAAUGGUCGGUAUAGUAGGCGCGAAACCGGGAGGUGGAGCU
rnacentral:rRNA from 1 species